UCAGCAUGCCGAGCUCUCGGCGCUUUCAAUGCCGGCCCUGGCAGGAGACGUGUCAGACAAGCUGGAGGGAUCCCUCCCCUGCCAGGAAGGUCAAGUUCUGAGUCGGGAGCAGCUGCACUACGCUGGGAUUGGAAGGAGUAAGGGCACUUCGCAGCUAUGAAUCCAGGAGCCACGCACCAUCCCUGGGACUGGGUGCCCAGAGUCUACUCCGCAUCAUUUAGCAACCCCUGGCAUCACCGUGACCGCUCGGUGUCCGUCCCAGCCCACUGAAGUGCUGGAAGGACUGGCUAUGCUCCGGGGAUUACGGACGUUUUAAUCCUCCUCUCAGCCCCCACACAGCCACCCCCAUCGUCCCACCAGGGCCUCUCUAUGGAGACUGAGAGACCCAGCUCCAGCUUGGCCAGAGAAGUUACACAAGCCACCCCCGGAGCAGCGCUCGGAGCCAGUGUGUAGUGCUGAGGGCAGAUUUGGAGGGUAAUUAACUUCAGAACAAUUUACCCAGGGCUGGCUGGACUCUCCAUCGCUUGGGGUCCUUAACUCCAGGCUGGCUUGGCUCUCGCUCUCGUUCUCUCUCUCCCCAAAAGGACCGAGCUCACUAGAAGCUUGGGCCAGAUGCAGGAAUCCCCGGAGGAGGAUCUCUGGCCUGUGUGCCACAGGGGGUCAGUCUGGAGGAGCAGAAUGGGCCCAUUCUAUGGCUGUAACAGAUGAGUCUCUGAGGAACCUUCUGUUUACUAUUCGUUUCGACUUCAGCUUGAUACAAACUCCAUCCUGAUGGGCUCCUCCCAUGCAACGCUCGGGGCACCCGGACAUUCAAAAUGCAGCUUCGUUUUGAUGCGAUUCGAUGAGUCGUCAUCGGCAGGACACGCUCGGCCACUGGGCGCAGGGGCUGAAUGAGCGCUGCCCUGACAGCUGGUGAUGGGUAGGGAGAAGACGGCAGGAACUGACCUUUCCAUGGACACACCCACCUUGCCUAGGUGUGCAGCACCAUGGAGCUGCGGGUGUUGGACUGCAAGUCUCUGUGUUAGCGGGGGGGCCGAAGCCUAGUGGAGCUGAGAGACCUCGAGACAUUGCAGAGGUUGCAGUGGAGCGAGCCGCUGAUGGUGAGUGAGCGGGUGGCGGAGUGGCGGGCGAGUGGCGGGCGGCAGAGCCAGUGGCUGACCGGCGGGGCGAGCGGCUGACUGGUGGAGUGAGCAAGGGACCUUCCUGCCCCCCCGCCCCCAGGGGAGAGGUGAACUCACAGGAAUGCACCUCUGAACUCUGGGGCUUCACUGAGUAAGUGGGGUGUGGGGGCCGUUGAAGGACCUUGUGUUGGUUGGAUGUUCUCACCACAAGGCGAGACCCUGAGGCAAAGGACACCGCUGCGUUACUUUCCCCUGUGCAGCUGGGGCCCUGCAGGCCUCGAGCACGUUCUAUGCUCUGAGCCACCGGCAGCACUAGCUGCUCCUUGCGGUCACCUGAAGGGCAAACGCAGCUUCUCUCACCCUCCAUCUGCCAGGCGCCAUAGGAGCUUGGGGAAUGUGGUUCCUCCAUGGGGAGCCCUCGCCUUCCUGGGCCUACCCGGAGUCCCCUGCCUGGCACCAAGCACUCGCCUCUCUCCAGAGUUCCUCGCUCACGCUGACCUUGCUGACAGCGGCUGCAUCUGCCAGGAGGGUGCGUGAGCUCAGUGCCUGACUGGCCUCGUGCUCUGCUCCGCAAGGACCAGGUCCUCAGGGGGCCCCAUCGCAGUGUCCUGCCUGUGCUGCUUUCCGCUUUCCACUUCUCUCCAGUGGCGUCCCUGCCCUGUGUCCUUUGACAGGCCCUUUCCCACCCAGGCGAACUCGUCUCUAUGCCCCAGAUGGAGCGAGGCCACUCUGCUUCGGCCUAGGAAAGACCAAGCCCUUAGGAAGCCACUAGGUUCUUUGGAGCAUAUGGGCAGAGAUGCCAGGGGAUCCGUUACCAGCACCAUGGACUUGGAAAUGUUUAGAACAUUGUUACAUCUUGGCUGGGCAGCCAGGACCCCUUGGUUCAAAGACCCACCCCCCACGGGCCCCACGACUUCUGUGGCAGGCCUCACACAGUGCCCCCGGUGGAGACAAGCAAUGCGGAGCUAGGGGCCCCUUCGCCAGAGGCUGCGUGGAUUUAGCAUCUCGCUGCCGCCCAUGGCCCUUCGGGAGGGAGGUGCUCCAGGCCACACUUAGCCAACAGCUCCUUGUCCGCCGGUGUCGCUGAUCUCCUGCCUGCGGGACAGAGAGGCUCUGAAAGGAGAAAGAGAAGCCGCUCCCCAGAACUGUUGGUCUUCCAGUUGUGUCUGUGCAGUCCCCCUCCCCGGGUGCCUUCCCUUCUACCUUGGAGCGCUCUGAGCCACCGGGACCCGGAGGCCUGGGGCCCGGUUGGGGGUGCCUCCCUUACACAGCGCAGGGCAACGAUGUCACCCUCAUGCGAGAGUGCCCCCCAGUGGCUUUUCCAGACAGUUCCACUGUGCGACAUCAGGGACACUAUGUCCCACAAGUGGGAAUGCACCAAGCCGGCUCCCAGGCUGUGUGUACGGCAGAGCUCUGCCGGCAAACCCGCCUAGCGGAGACGCAGCUCUAGCGGGACCCCGGUGCAGCUUGUCCCCCCAGCAGGAGAAACUGUGCUGGCAGAAGCUGCGUCUGCUCCAGGGCUUUUGCUGUCACAGCCGGGUUGGCUGCGGGGAUUUUCACACUCUACCACGCACAGGCAAUGCUGGCAAAAGUCAAGUGGAAACCAGGCUUCAGCAAACAUCGAUUCCUGGUAACAAUCUCUGCAGAGGAGAGCUUUCCCAGGCCGUUGCUGAUUCUCAUCGCCCAUCUCUGAACCCCUCCAGUUCUGCAGUAUCCUCUUGGAGAAGGGGUGACGAGACUGUGCCAGUGCUUACGGAACAUCUGUACCAGAAUAAGGUCCCUUUAUGGGGAUAUAACUGCCUCUCCUCGGGGGGCAUUGUGUCGCUUUCACUGGACCUGGGUAGUGCAAGCAGUGCAAUUUUUGUCUGCAGACAAGGCCUUACUCUAUGUGUGUGUGUAGCUCCCACCACAAUGGGGUCCUGGUCUCAGCUGGGGUCUCUCCGUGCUACUGUGAUAUCAAUGAUAGAGUGAUUCCUAGCUUCCAAGGCCAGAAGGGACCGUCAUAAUGAGCCCGCCUGAUCUCCCGUCGAGCACAAGCCAGAGAGCCCCACCGAGUGGUUCCAGCAUCUGACUCAUGCACUAGCUCGGCCAGAAGGUACCUUUGAGACAGAUGUUGUCGCCAGGUGACAGGGAACCUCCACAUCCCUGGGUCAAUUCUUCCGAUGGUUGAUUACCCUCCCUCCUAAAAAACUAUACCUUAUUUCCAGGCUGAACUUGCUUUCUAGCUUCAGCUUCCAGCUACUGGACCUUGUUCUCCUUUGUCUGCUCGACUGAAGAGCCCUCGGUUGUUAGAAAUCUCUCUGUGUAGGUAUCUAGCAACCGUGAUCACUUGGAAAAACUCAACCGAUUGAGCUUCUUUAGUCUCUCCUUUGUCCAGACCUCAGAUGAUUCGUGUAGCUCUUCUCUGAACACUUUCCAAUUGGUGACGUUCUUUUUAAACGACAAACGUCAAAACGGGACAAUUUCCAGUAAUGGUCUCAUCAGUGCUCAGUGUGGAAAUGACUGAAGAUCUCUCUCCGGAUCCAGCAGGUCCCAGCGACAGGAGAAAUGUAUGGGACACACCUGUGGAUGGCAGCUCGGCCCAACCUUUACAAAAAUCAGUCUUGCCCACAAAGAGUUCUCCAGUCAUCCAAAGAAGACAUGUCCUGGUUGGGGAUUCAAUUCUCAGAAGAAUCAAAAGGACAUUCUGCAAGGAACAGGUGAGCAACAGAGCCAAGACGCAAGCCCUCACUCUAAAACUGGACAGGCUUCUGAAGUUAGACGAUGAUUAUAUCGACACUAAUGAUGCUCUGUGGCAGGAUUUCUCGCCGGGAAAGAGGACUUCAGGGAACUCAAAAGCAGGCUGAAGAAGACGAUUGUCCAGCUGAUCUUCUCUGAGAUCCUCCCUGUCCCAUGAGAUAAGGAAGACAAAAGGCAGAAGAUUCUGGAAGUGAGUCACUGGCUAGGUAAGUGGUGGAGGUUUUUUUGUGGAACUUUGUUCCACCUUCUGUGGGGAGACCGACCCGUGUAGUUUGGAUGGACUCCAUCUCAGUAGACAGGGGAGUAGUCUCCUUGGGGACAGGUUGGCUAGAGUAGAGUAGAGGGGAUUAGACUAAUAGCAAAAGAGGGAAGAUAUGAGCACUCAGCACAAAAUCGAGAUGUUGAGAACAAAAUUAAUGGAGGACCCGAAGGACACGAGGAGAAGAAAUUCUUGAGUUGCCCAUACACCAAUGCUAGGAGCCUGCGUAACAAACAAGAGGAAUUGGAAUUGCUCAUUUAUGAGCAUAACUUCAAUGUAGCUGGUAUCACUGAAAUCUGGUGGGAUGAGUCUCAUGAACGGAAUGUUAAUAUCAGUGGUUCUAUGCAGUGAUGUUGUAGCCGGGUCGGUCCCAGGAUAUUAGAGAGACAAACUGGGGGAGGGAAUGUCUUUUAUUGGACCAACUUCUGUUGGUAAGUGAGACAAAUACGCUGAGAGAACCUGUUUCAGUACAGAAAUACCCCCAGCCCCGAUCACACACCCCUAAUUGUCACCUACCACCACACACUGGAACUCAUAUGGGGUAUCAUCAAACAAUACUUAAUGGGAACCCCAUCCUGAAAGAAAACUUUCCUGAACCCCAGACCAGCCCCCAGCCCCAGGUUCACCUGCCCCAGGGCUGUUCCACCCCACCA